rnacentral:lncRNA from 1 species
UACAGGGUGUUAGUAAUCGGAAAGAAGGUUUAUUAGAACAGGUGAUCCACGCAUUGGAGCUCCCACUGCAUCGAAGAAUGGUCAGGCUAGAAGCUCGAUGGUACAUCGAAGCUUACAGCAAAAGUGCAGCUAGAAAACCAAACCUACUUGAAUUGGCCAAACUGGAUUUUAACAUGGUGCAGUCAACACUUCAAGAAGAUCUUAAAGAGAUGACAAGGUAAGACGAUUGAUUAAGAACAUAAGCUUUUCAAAACAUUUUUCUUUUAUCACUUGCAACUCUGACAACAUCGCUUUCACUUGUUGAUUAGAUGGUGGAUUGGUAUGGGACUAUCGAGCAAGUUAAAUUUCGCAAGGGAUAGGCUCAUGGAAUGCUUCUUUUGGUCUGUUGGAAUGGUCUCUGAACCUCAAUUCAGGAAUUGCCGAAAAAGUUUAACCAAAGUGGCUUCUUUCGUUACUAUAAUUGAUGAUAUUUACGAUGUUUAUGGCACUUUAGAUGAAUUAGAGUUGUUCACUGAAGCUGUUCAAAGGUUUGAAUUUUUUUUUAUUAGAAAUAUAUAAAUCUCUCUCUUAUUGUUCAGUACUAAUAACAUUUUUAAUAUCUUGAAUUUCAGAUGGGAUGUAUGUGCCGUAAAAGAUCUUCCCAAGUGUAUGGAGCUAUGCUUUCUAGCUCUGUACAACUCUGUAAAUGAGAUGGCUUAUGAAACUCUUAGAGACCAUGGAGAAAACAUCAUUCCAUACUUAACCAAAGCUGUAUGGCAAAGAAUCCAUAUUUAAAUUACGAUUCCAAAAACAUUAAAACCGCUAUCUAUAUGUGUGAUUUUUAUUUUUAUGUUUUCUCAGUGGGCAGAUCUAUGCAAAGCAUUCUUGAAAGAAGCAGCGUGGGCACGUAGUAAACAUGUUCCAACAUUCCAAGACUAUCUUGAAAAUGCAUGGGUGUCUGUGUCUGGACAUAUUUUUCUAGUCCAUGCCUAUUUUUUACAGAGUCCAAACAUCACAAGUGAAGCACUUGACAGCUUGGAACUGUACCAUGAUAUCCUUCGUUGGCCAUCUACUAUUUUCCGACUUUGUAAUGAUUUGGGUACUUCGAAGGUAUAUAUUGAUUAUCACCAUUAUUACAUCUUGUUCGAAUUUCAUUUGGCAACCUAGUUCAUGAAAUAUAUAUAUAUAUUUUUGGGUAAUAUAGGACGAGUUGGAAAGAGGUGAAAGUGCAAACUCGAUAAUAUGCUACAUGAAGGAAGUUGGCUGCUCGGAGGCAACGGCUCGCCAACAUAUAAGUGAUUUGAUCGAUAAUUAUUGGAUGAAAAUGAACAAAUGUCGAAUUGAAGGUUCUCCAUUUGCGAAACAUUUGGUAGAAACAGCUACUAAUUUGGCUCGGAUUUCCCAAUGCACAUACCAGCAUGGAGAUGCACAUGGAUGUCCAGAUAAUCUAUCUAAGAAUAGAAUACAAUCGUUGAUUGUUGAGCCUAUUUCUAUAAACUAGAAAGUAAUUUCAUCAAUGUACAUUUGAGAUUUUAUAACUAUAAAGUAUAGUGUGAUAAUUGUUCACUUCAUCUCUUUAUUAUGUGGUCUGAUGUUCGAUCUCCGUUCAUGGGAAUGGAGAAUAUUUCAUAGCUAGUCGUUUACCUCUUCAAAGAAUAUUCACGACGAGAAAAUUACUCACUAUUACAUAUGAUAGAUACCUUGAUUCUGACAAAAAUAUAAAGCGAAUUUCUUAUUCACAUUGCUUGGCCUUGUAAACUAAUAUUUGUUCAAAUGUAUCAGAUUACUUGAUUUUGCGAGGUAUAAAAGUUAUUAUAAUUCAAACCUUAAUAAUCCUAUGUCUUUUUCUUUUAAUUAAAAAAAAUUGAUAUUGCUUGCACACUUAUAAAAAUUAUAUAAAUUUGAUAUAAAAUUAUAUUAUUAGUUAAUAAAGUAUUAGAAUGUUUUUGUCUUGGUUACCCAAUUACAAAAAUUAUUAAAGAUGAUACUCAAAUUUUCAUAAAUCAAUCAAGUAUUCAACACUUCAUGCAUAACAUACUUAUGAAUAAAAUCUAGAUAAUCAAAAUCAAAAUAAACAGUUGAGUAUAAAUGAGACCCCCAUGGAGUCUAGAUGCACAUAAUGAAAUUGCAAAUACUAAAAAUCUUUCUAAAAUGUACAAGCCUCAACUAAAAAUCGACCACCAUGGAAAGAUCUCUCUAAUUAGUGACAAUGGCACAAGCAUCUCCCUCAAUGGAGCCUUUGGUGUUGGAAAAUUUUAGUGCCAAAACUAAGGCACUAACCUCUACCAUAUCUAGAACAAGUGCAUCAUGCACAUUGUGGUCAUCCAUCUACCACGAAGCCAUCACAGUCGAACACUAUAACACCUACACAACCAACUUUGUCCUCGAGCUUGCAAUUAACAUCAACGUUGAGUUUGAUAGCAUGUCCACUGGGUGGUUGCCGAGCUAUCACCUAAGGUCGAGGGGGAAUGAUAGGAGGUCAUUGGAGUGCAAUAGAAGGUGGAGUACCUGAACAUUGCUUCAUAAAAAAAGUAUUAACUUUUUUCCCAUAAAAAAAUUAUUUUGGACAAAAAUUUAUACUCUUUUUUAUUAAUUAAUUUAUUUUAAAUAUUAUUAAUUUUUUUAAUUUGUGCUUGUCAUAUGAUAUACUGAGAAACUGUCACGUGUCACUAUCAGAUUAGUCAUCAGUACUACAUUAGCAUAAACUAACGAUGUUAAUGUAAAGAUACUAAAUUUGACGACGGAAUAAAAGUUUAAAUAUCAACUAAAUAUGAAAAAUAUUUAAGUAUCAAUAAAAUACUUAUAGAAAAGUAGAUGCUAAAACUGGGAAUUAUCUAAAUACCUUCUAGUGACAUGCUUCUAGUCAGACAAGGAAUCAUCGUUUGUUAAUCUCUUAUUAUGACCUGGUUCCUUUUCAAAAAAUAAUAAUGUAUGUAACUAAUCUCCUAACUAGAAUAAAGGUUCAUCGGAGUCUCUUGAACUUGAAGGAGUACCUUCUCUUAUCUCUUAAUCACGCUAUCUUCUAGUUUUGUAAGAAUCAAUCAUCGUAAGUAAAGUCAGCGGACUUCUCAAUUUUGAAAUUUAGAAAAUAAACUUGUAAAAUUGAUUAAUUAGUCCAAUAGAAUGAACCGAAGAAGCAAAUUAUAUGAUAAUGGAUUGCGGGCCUAAGCAGAAAUUGUAUCAUCCAUGGUUAUUGUUUUUGACUAUCAAACUUUUUACAUUUUAAACUUACCAUUUACCAUAUUAUUACGUUAAAAAAGUAAUUUAAUUUAAAAUAAUAUUAUUCUUAAAAAAUUACGUUGAAAAUACAUUAAACAUUUUGUAUUUGUAAAUCCUAUUUUAUAUGCAGUAAAAAUUAUUAUCUUAUUUUUACUAUUAUAUUUGGAAAAAUUAAAUAGUUAUGAUUUUAUUAAAAACCAAAAAAAAUAAGUUAAACAUUUUUGUUUUUGAAAAGAAUCUGUAAAUAUGUCAUCAUAUGACAUGUAACAACACAUGAUUAGUUGGAUAUCUCAAUCGUUAGUUUUUAAAGUUCAAAACAUUAAUGUGUAAUAUUAAAAAUUGAAAUGAGAUACAAAGAGCUUUAAGAAUUAAAGGGGAAAAAAAGAUACGCUUUAGGGGCUAAAGUAUGCAUUAAGCCAAUUACAAAUUAUUAAAAUAUAAAAAGUAUUCAUCUUUUGCUAAAUCAAAAUACUUUAUUAAAAGUUAGUAUUUAGUACACUGAUAAUAUAUAUUUUUAUUUCACAAGUCACUUUAAAAUUUUAAAUGCCUCUUUUUCAUAAAUAUUUAUUUUUUCAUAUUUUACUAUACUUAAAUAAAAUACUUACCAACGUUUAAAUUUUAUUUAUGGAGUCUAAAAAUGUGUGCUUUACUUUUUCUUUUUAUUAGAAUUACGAAGUAGUAGAGAGAUUAUAACAAACCAGUGGAGAAGCAAAAGCAUAGAAGGAGAUUCUCUACUGACAAAAACCAGAAUAAGAAUAUUCUAUUAUUAGGUUGGGGAAUGGCUAUUCUAUUCUAUUAGUGAUUCAAUGGAAUCACUAUUUUUUCUCCAUCUCACUUGUAAUAGCAAUUUUUUGUUAUACCUAAAUAGAAAAAAAAUUAAUUUUGUUCUUGUUCUUGAAGUAUUUAUAUGAUGAAAUAAAUAAUAAAUUAUAUAAUAUUAAAUAAAUAAAUAAUUAUUUAUAUUAUAUUAAAUAUAACUGUAAAUAAAUAAAAAAGCAUAAUUUCAUAAAUUUAAUAAUAAAUACUUUAUCACUUAUAUUAAUAUAUUCUAAUAAAAUUAUUUUUUUAAUGAUAGUAAAAUGUUAUUAUUUUUAAUAUCUAUUAUUAAUUAUUUUAUAUUUGUUACAUUUAAUAAAAUUUAAAAUAUCAGUAUAAAAAAACUUAAUUUUAAAUACCUAUAAUUAUUAUUUUGAUAACCAUAUUUUAAUAAAUUUCAAUAUAAUUUAUGAUAAAAAUUUAAUAAAGAGAAAAUUAUUAUUUUAUCAAAGGGUAAAAUUGUUGUUUUAAAAUAUAUUCCUUCCAAUCAAACUACAUAAGAGUAAGAUAAAUGAUUGUAUGAAACUGUGAUUCAACGUUACAAAUCAAAUUUUUUUCUUUUAAUUUUUAAUAUUUUUAGUUCACGGAAACACUUUCCUAGGUUAGUUUUCCUCUCCCUCAGUGUUAAUCGGAAUCGCCACUGUCUGCUAUAAUUGGUAUGGCAGCCCAAUGUGAAUAGCUCUUUGCAUGCCUUACAUUAAUGUCCAUUAUCAACAGCAAUUAUUGCUUUGCCAAAAAUAAGAAAUGAAUAGGAAAAAAAGAUCAGUUAAUAAUAUAAAGGAGAGGCGUAUGAAAAGUCAGCAUAUUUAAAUUUCAAGCCUUUACCCUGUUUUGUUGAUAUUAGUUCUCUAUUUUCAUUCUAAAAUUUCAAAGAUGAAGAGUUCUAAAGGGAAAACAUUGAUGAUGAAAUGGAUAUUACAAACGAAAAACAAAAUGGUCACACCGUCAAUGUAAGAGGGAAAUCGUGGAUUCAAGAACUAGGAAGUCAACCACAUAACCAAAAGUGUGAUGUCGGUAAAACAUUGAAUGAAUUGUUUGGUUUAUCUAAUGAUAGUUUAUUAAUAGAGGAGGAGGAGGAGAAAAUCCCAGUUCAACUGAUGAUAGCUUUGUUUCUGCGGAGUUAUGCAUUGUAUUUUUUAAUUUUUAUUCUCUAAGUUAAAUAUUAUUUUUAGUUUAUCAUUUAAACUCUGAUUAAUGUAGGUUACUUUAAUACUAUUUGACCUACGAAUUUAGUUUAUAAAUAAGUCAUUCUAUAAUGGCCUAAAUUUAAAGUUAUCGGAACAGUAAUUUCGUAACCACAAAUCCGAUUUAAAGAUAAAUUAUUUUAAAAAAAUUAUUGCAUGAAUAUUAAUAUAAUAGGAAAAUCGUAUGAAAAUAUCGAUAGAAAAAUUUUACCGAUUUAGUGGUUAGUUAGAAAAAGAAAUUAUUGAAGAAAUUGGGUAAAAAUAAGGUAUUGAGAUCUCGAUCUCAUAAAACCGAGUCGGAAAUAUUUUUAUAAAUAUUUAUGAAAUGUUAGUGAUGUGGUAUUAAAAUUUCGUUAGGAAAUUUUAAUGUUUAGGUAGUCAAUUAAAUGAAAAGAACUAAAUUAGAAAAGGUGUAAAAGUUGCUAGAAUGAUUAAAUAGCUUAAGUGUCUAAUGAGAAAGGAUUUAAAAGGCAAUUAGACUCAAAAUUUAUUUGGGCUGGACGACUAGCUCAUGAAAUCAGCAGGAAAAUUAAUGAUUUAAGGGUAAAAUUAAAAUAUUACAUAAUUAAUUAAAUAAAGAUAGGACUAAAUAGGAAAUAUCUAGAUUUCUCUUUAUUUUUUUCAUUCUCAUCAGCCAAUACGCCAUAGAAGGGGUUCUUUAAGCUGGUAUUCCAUAAUUUUUGCACUAAAUCCAGAAAAUUCAAAUACGAAGCUAGAUUUUGAGCAAAGUUUUUAGACAGUUUAAAAAUUGCAAAAAUAAUAUUUUAGAUCCCUUCUAGCCUUGGUUCCUGGACCGCUACACCUCCGGAUGAGUAUUUGAUAAUAUUGUGUGAAUGCAGACGUGUUUAAAGCUUUCAAGGACCAUAAGGGAAAUUUCAAGGAAUGCCUUUACAAGGAUGUCAAAGGAAUGUUGAGUUUGUAUGAAGCUUCACGUCUUGCUUUCGAAGAAGAGUAUGUAAUGGAUGAAGCCUUCUUGUUUACACGAACGAAUCUCAUGGAUUUACAGGGUGUUAGUAAUCUGGAAGAAAGUUUAUUAGAACAGGUGAUCCACGCAUUGGAGCUCCCACUGCAUCGAAGAAUGGUCAGGCUAGAAGCUCGAUAGUACAUCGAAGCUUACAGCAAAAGUGCAGCUAGAAAAUCAAACCUACUUGAAUUGGCCAAACUGGAUUUUAACAUGGUGCAGUCAACGCUUCAAGAAGAUCUUAAA